rnacentral:rRNA from 1 species
UUUCGCAAUGCCCGAAAGGGUGACGAAGCGACGCCGCGUGUGGGAAGAAGGCCUUCGGGUUGUAAACCACUGUCGGGAGUUAGGAAAUGUAAGGGUGCUAAUAGUAUCCUUACUUGACUAAGGCUCCGGAGGAAGCCACGGCUAACUCUGUGCCAGCAGCCGCGGUAAUACGGAGGCAGCAAGCGUUGUUCGGAAUUAUUGGGCGUAAAGAGCACGUAGGCGGCCUUGUAAGUCAGUUGUGAAAGCCUUCUGCUUAACGGAAGAACAGCAGCUGAUACUGCAAGGCUAGAGUGCGGAAGGGGAGAGUGGAACUUCUGGUGGAGCGGUGAAAUGCGUAGAUAUCAGAAGGAACACCGGCGGCGAAGGCGACUCUCUGGUCCGUAACUGACGCUGAGUGUGCGAAAGCUAGGGGAGCAAACGGGAUUAGAUACCCCGGUAGUCCUAGCCGUAAACGAUGGGCACUAAGUAGAGGGGUUUUA